rnacentral:lncRNA from 1 species
CCCUGGACACCGGACACCUACCCAACCCUGUCCCCUACAGAUCUACCCAACCCUGUCCCCUGGACACCUACCCAACCUAUAAUAAAGGUCUGGGUCAGCCAUUAAAGGUCAGCCAAUAAAGGUCAGCCAUUAAAGGUCAGCCAUUAAAGGUCAGCCAAUAAAGGUCAGCCAAUAAAGGUCAGCCAUUAAAAGUCAGCCAAUAAAGGUCAGCCAAUAAAGGUCAGCCAUUAAAGGUCAGCCAUUAAAGGUCAGCCAAUAAAGGUCAGCCAAUAAAGGUCAGCCAUUAAAGGUCAGCCAUUAAAGGUCAGCCAAUAAAGGUCAGGGUCAGCCAUUAAAGGUCAGCCAUUAAAGGUCAGCCAUUAAAGGUCAGCCAUUCAAGGUCAGCCAAUGACUAAAUAGGAAAUAUGGUGGCAUUUGGAACUCAUACCCUAAAGUACAUGAACUAGCCGAUACAGUAUAUAUGAACAUUUAGAGAGAGAGAGAGAGAGAGAGAGAGAGAGAGAGACGGAGAGACAGAGAGACGGAGAGACAGAGAGACAGAGAGAGAGAGAGAGAGAGAGAGAGAAAGAUAAAGUACAUGCUCAAACAGGUUCCUGCAUUUUUUGUUGUUGAAGGAUUCAAACUUUUCACUCCCAUCAAUCUCUUCUUCUUUUCUCUCUAACCCCCCCCUUCUCUCUCUCUCCCCC